GGGGUUCUUCGUUUUGGCUUUCUGGAACUCUCCCUUUGCAAUUUUGUUUGGUGGUUUUUGUUAGAAAAAUGGUGAAGAAGAAGAAGAAGAAAUUGAAGAAAUGGCAGUGGGGCGAAAGCCCCAGUCGGUGAUGGGAUUUGAAGAGAGGGAAAAUGAUAAGGGGAUGGUUUCUAAUGCUCAGUUUUGCGAAAUCUUAGUGAACUUAUGAUGAAGAAAUCAAAUUAGUUUUAUGUAAAGACUGUUGGAGCAAGAUGAUUUGGGUCUGGUUUUGGUUUGCCAUCAAAAUCCACUUAUUUGGGGUCCGGUUUUGGUUUGCCAUCGAAACCCACCUGCGUUUUGCGAUCGGCGGUGUAUCAGUUGUUCCCGGAGGAGGACGAACAUUAGCUGUGUUUAAGGAGGACUAGGAAGAAGGGGAGCGGAGGAAGGAGUGAUGGGAGGAGGAACGGGGACGAUUUCCACGGAACAAGGAGGAGAGGUUUUUAUUUAUUUAUUUUUAAAGUUAAUUUUAAUUGUCAAAUAAAAAAUUAAUAAAAAAUUAAUUUUUUAUUCAAGUUGGCAAAAAAGUGGUUCUCGUUACUGUCACAUCAUCAUUUAACAAUCAGAUUGACAGAAAAUUUAACAGAGUUCUGACAUUGCAACAACUUCAUAAGUUGAGUUAUGACAUUGCAAUAUUUAAACAUGAGAUAUGGGAUUGUGAUUCGACUCAUAAUUGAGUUAGUUUUUUGUAAUUUACCCUAUAUUAUAUAUAUAUAUAUAUAC
rnacentral:lncRNA from 1 species